GUCCCGUAGUUCAACGGAUAGAAUAGAAGUUUCCUAAACUUUAGAUAUGAGUUCGAUUCUCGUCGGGACCACACCA
rnacentral:tRNA from 1 species